GAGCUCGCCAUGCUGCUGCAGUGUGCUUUGUUGCACGCUGUUUGAGAAAGUGUUAAAAAAAUAUUUGUUUAAAACAGCUCCAGAAAGUCAUAUAGCGCUCAAUGAGUCUUUUCCAAGAUUUCUUUUGCGACUAAAACUCAGAACGGUGAAGCAGUUGGCCACUGGGAGUCAAAGCUCACUGGGAGUGACGCUUUCCGAACCUGCAGUGACGGAUAUCAGCCAUGAGUGAGCAGGAGAUGGCCCUCCCCAUGAGCCAGGACACCUUCGAGCAGUUGUGGGGUGAUGUGGGCUCGAACAUGGGUUUCAAUGAACUGCUUGCAGAGCUGCCGAGAGCAGACAGUGAUGCCUGGCUCACUGCUGCCUUGCCCAGUGGCACCUUCAGUGAGAACUUUGAUGGUCUGGAGCUCCCAGAGGCCCCUGACAGUGCUGCCGUAGCUGCUGUAAUGUCUCCGGUCCUGGACAGUCUGCCCCCUCCAGCUGCAGUGGUACCAUCCACAAGUGACUAUCCUGGGGAAUAUGGCUUCCAGCUCCGCUUCAACCAGUCCAGCACAACAAAAUCUGUUACCUCUACGUAUUCCAGUUCUUUGAAUAAACUGUACUGCCAGCUGGCUAAGACAUGUCCAGUUGAUGUCUUGCUGGAGCAGGUUCCUCCUCAGGGAGCAGUGCUCAGGGCCACUGCCAUUUACAAGAAACCUGAGCAUGUGUCGGAGGUGGUGCUGCGCUGCCCUCAUCACCAGAAUAUCUCUGAGAAUAAUGAAGGCGUUGCUCAUCGCAGCCAUCUUAUCCGUAUGGAGGGGAGGCAGAGGGCUCAGUAUUUAGAGGACCCCAAUACCAAGAGGCAGAGUGUCACUGUUCCCUAUGAGGCUCCUCAGCUGGGUUCAGAGGUCACCACGGUCUUGCUGAACUUCAUGUGCAACAGCAGCUGUAUGGGAGGCAUGAACCGCCGGCCCAUUCUUACCAUAAUGACUCUUGAAACACAUGAUGGGCAGGUUUUAGGUCGUCGUUGUUUCGAGGUCCGUGUGUGCGCCUGCCCUGGCCGUGACCGCAGGACUGAAGAAGAGAAUCAGAACAAAAAAACCUCAAAACUUGCCUCAGGAAAUAAAAGAAAGUUUCCAGGCAUGGACUCUCAGGUCGCUUCAAAAGCUGAAUCAAGUAAAAAGAUCAGGAUUGACUCCGGUUCUGAGGAGGAAAUCUUUGUUUUGCAUGUGAGUGGAGAAUUACGCAGCCUUUUCACAAGCACUAUACUUGAUCUUGCUUCCUACUAACAUGGUUUAGAUUUACAAUUUACCUGCCGGUGAAGUCGUAUCGUAAAACUUUUUAUCCCCUGCCCAAAUGAAGUUUGGCGGGGGAUAUAGGAAACGGGUUCCGUCCAUCCGGUCACGUUUCCGGGCCGUAUCUUUAAAACUACUGAAGACAUCUUCAUGAAACUUUGUAUACAUAUCAAUCAGCGUGUGAACUGGUGCCUUUUGCUAUUUUGGAUUUUUUUGAAAAGUAUUUUUCAGGUUUUUACAUAAAAAGUACACUACCGUUCAAAAGUUUGGGGUCACCUAGACAAUUUUGUGUUUUCCAUGAAAAGUCACACUUUUAUUUCCCACCAUAAGUUGUAAAAUGAAUAGAAAAUAUAGUCAAGACCUUUUUUUGAGCAUUUAAUCGACCCCACAAAUGUGAUGCUCCAGAAACUCAAUCUGCUCAAAGGAAGGUCAGUUUUAUAGCUUCUCUAAAGAGCUCAACUGUUUUCAGCUGUGCUAACAUGAUUGUACAAGGGUUUUCUAAUCCUCCAUUAGCCUUCUGAGGCAAUGAGCAAACACAUUGUACCAUUAGAACACUGGAGUGAGAGUUGCUGGAAAUGGGCCUCUAUACACCUAUGGAGAUAUUGCACCAAAAACCACACAUUUGCAGCUAGAAUAGUCAUUUACCACAUUAGCAAUGUAUAGAGUGGAUUUCUGAUUAGUUUAAAGUGACCUUCAUUGAAAAGAACAGUGCUUUUUCUUUCAAAAAUAAGGACAUUUCAAAGUGACCCCAAACUUUUGAACGGUAGUGUAGAUUUUGACUUAGUUUCUAAGAGCAGUGUUUGUUUCCGGAGCGUAUAUCCAAAACUGUUCAUGAUAGGGAUUUGAAACUUGGCAUACAUGUUAACAAGGUGAUGUAGAUGUGCCUUUUCAUACUAAAAAAAUUGAGAAAUUUAAGUUUUUCAUGUUUCUAUGGAAACAAUUUCAGACUCUCAGGUUAGUCUUAAGGGGUGUUCACAUGGCAACUUUUACUCCGGUGUAGCACCGGGGCUGCCCCAGUAGAGCGUUCACACGGUACAAAGUUAUACCGGUGUAGCCCCUGAAAGCUGCUUAAACCGGUACAAAUCUAACCCUGCUCGGGAGGUGGUUUAAGAAAUUUACUCCGGAGUAAAUGCUAGUUUGCGGGGCAGCACGGAUAUAAAAUGGGCCGUCUGAACGCUACAGGGGUAGACUCGCUACGCGUGAGUUGAUUACAUACGAGCAUUGCAUAAUUUGCAUCCUGGUAUUUUGCGCUUCCAAAAUGGCGAAUAUCAACAACAACAGAACUGCGUGUCUUACAGUGUUGCCAGAUUGGGCAGUUUUAAGUGCAUUUUGGCGGAUUUGAACAUAUUUUGGGAUGGAAAACAUCAGCAAUAUCUGGCAACACUGGUGUCUUCAUCCACGUUUUCCCGGCGCUUGGUGAUGCCAUGACAACCGGGAAAAGGAAGUACAUUUUCACGCAUGCGUAUAUUUAAUUUCCGCAUUAUUACUAUCGGAAAUGAUAGUAAUAAUGAUAGGAAAUGAUAGUAAUAAAAGGAAAUGAUAUCAAAACUUUAUUACUAUCAAAUGAAAUGAUGGUAAUAAAGUUUUUGCUACUAUUGCACGGUCGCAGAAACUGCCGUGUGACCACAAGUGGGGCUGCACCGGUGCUAAAACACUUCUCUCUAGUAAGCAGGGUUGUGACGUGUGAACGCUCCACAAAAUUUACACCGGUGUAAGAUAUAUCGCAACAAAAUACAUCGGUGCAGCAUCGAUGCAAAUAUGUGCCGUGUGAACACCCUAUUAGGUUUUGUUUCUGGAGCAGAACUUGAAAACUGAGUGGUAUGGUCUUGAAAGUUGGUAUAUGUGGUGAUUUAAGUAAUGUGUGCCUUUUGAUACUGAGAAAUUUUUAGCUCACCUGGGUCAAAGAUCCAGUAGGCUUAUGCUAUGGGCUGCUGAGGUCAGUGUAAAGAGGUUCGUGGGAGAGACAGAUUCAAUAUGCUAAAAACAAUUAAUGACAGUUUGGAGUUAACGGACAUGCUGCCUGCUGCAGAUAAGGACA